GCUCAGUGUAGCAGCUGGUGUUGUGAAUCAGGCCGUCACCUAUUAGAGAACGGCUACUUCACAACACCAGGGUUGCCCUGU
rnacentral:pre_miRNA from 1 species